rnacentral:rRNA from 1 species
GUAUGUGGCAAGCGUUGUCCGGAAUUAUUGGGCGUAAAGCGCGCGCAGGUGGUUCUUUAAGUCUGAUGUGAAAGCCCCCGGGCUCAACCGGGGAGGGUCAUUGGAAACUGGGGAACUUGAGUGCAGGAGAGGAAAGUGGAAUUCCACGUGUAGCGGUGAGAUGCGUAGAUAUGUGGAGGAACACCAGUGGCGAAGGCGACUUUCUGGCCUGUAACUGACACUGAGGCGCGAAAGCGUGGGGAGCAAACAGGAUUAGAUACCCUGGUAGUCCACGCCGUAAACGAUGAGUGCUAAGUGUUGGGGGGUUUCCGCCCCUCAGUGCUGCAGCUAACGCAUUAAGCACUCCGCCUGGGGAGUACGGUCGCAAGACUG